UUUUUUGAUCAUUCAUAUGUAUUUUUUGUGUUGUUGAUGAUUAUUUAAGUUUGUUCGAUUAUAAUGUUUAUGGAUGGAUCUAUUAUUUGAUGUGGAGGAGGUAGGGGUUUGGGUACUACAAGUUGUAAGGGGGUCUACGGUGAGGCCAAGUUUAGACACGGACAAUCUUAUAAAGUUGUUUCACGGUUUUGGAUUCGUUGAAACUCGAGCUUAAUCGAUUGGAAAUUGAAGUCACAGGUGAUUAAUACAAAAUGAUUUAUUAUGAUCGAGAACCGAGCGAAUCACAAUCUUAGAUAGAUUUUAAAUUAAAUGUCUACAUAAGAAAAAAAUGAUUGAAAACUAUA
rnacentral:lncRNA from 1 species